rnacentral:rRNA from 1 species
UACGAAGGGAGCUAGCGUUGUUCGGAAUCACUGGGCGUAAAGCGCACGUAGGCGGAUUUGUCAGUCAGGGGUGAAAUCCCGGGGCUCAACCCCGGAACUGCCUUUGAUACUGGUAGUCUCGAGUCCGGAAGAGGUGAGUGGAAUUCCGAGUGUAGAGGUGAAAUUCGUAGAUAUUCGGAGGAACACCAGUGGCGAAGGCGGCUCACUGGUCCGGUACUGACGCUGAGGCACGAAAGCGUGGGGAGCAAACAGG